rnacentral:rRNA from 1 species
GAUGAACGCUAGCUACAGGCUUAACACAUGCAAGUCGAGGGGAAACGAUAUUGGAAGCUUGCUUCCGAUAGGCGUCGACCGGCGCACGGGUGAGUAACGCGUAUCCAACCUGCCCACCACUUGGGGAUAACCUUGCGAAAGUAAGACUAAUACCCAAUGAUAUCUCUAGAAGACAUCUGAAGGAGAUUAAAGAUUCAUCGGUGAUGGAUGGGGAUGCGUCUGAUCAGCUUGUUGGCGGGGUAACGGCCCACCAAGGCGACGAUCAGUAGGGGUUCUGAGAGGAAGGUCCCCCACAUUGGAACUGAGACACGGUCCAAACUCCUACGGGAGGCAGCAGUGAGGAAUAUUGGUCAAUGGACGAGAGUCUGAACCAGCCAAGUAGCGUGCAGGAUGACGGCCCUAUGGGUUGUAAACUGCUUUUAUAAGGGAAUAAAGUGAGUCUCGUGAGACUUUUUGCAUGUACCUUAUGAAUAAGGACCGGCUAAUUCCGUGCCAGCCGCCGCGGUAA